rnacentral:rRNA from 1 species
UGAGGAAUAUUGCACAAUGGGCGCAAGCCUGAUGCAGCGACGCCGCGUGGGUGAUGAAGGUCUUCGGAUCGUAAAGCCCUUUUCUGCGUGACGAGACAGGACGGUAGCGCAGGAAUAAGUCUCGGCUAACUACGUGCCAGCAGCCGCGGUAAAACGUAGGAGACGAACGUUAUCCGGAGUUACUGGGCGUAAAGGGCGUGUAGGCGGUUUGUUAAGUCUGGCGUGAAAGCUCUCGGCUAAACCGGGAGAGGUCGUUGGAUACUGGCGAACUAGAGGAUGGUAGAGGCGUGUGGAAUUCCGGGUGUAGUGGUGAAAUGCGUAGAGAUCCGGAGGAACACCAGUGGCGAAGGCGACACGCUGGGCCAUACCUGACGCUAAAGCGCGACAGCAUGGGGAGCAAACGGGAUUAGAUACCCUAGUAGUCCCUGAGCGGGCUGGCAAGGCGCAU